rnacentral:rRNA from 1 species
CGUAGGGUGCGAGCGUUAAUCGGAAUUACUGGGCGUAAAGCGUGCGCAGGCGGUUUUGUAAGACAGAUGUGAAAUCCCCGGGCUCAACCUGGGACCUGCAUUUGUGACUGCAAGGCUAGAGUACGGUAGAGGGGGGAUGGAAUUCCGCGUGUAGCAGUGAAAUGCGUAGAUAUGCGGAGGAACACCGAUGGCGAAGGCAAUCCCCUGGACCUGUACUGACGCUCAUGCACGAAAGCGUGGGGAGCAAACAGGAUUAGAUACCCUGGUAGUCCACGCCCUAAACGAUGUCAACUGGUUGUUGGGCCUUUACUGACUCAGUAACGAAGCUAACGCGUGAAGUUGACCGCCUGGGGAGUACGGCCGCAAGGUUG